UGGGUUGACAUGACCAACUUCAAUUUCAUCUGGCUCUCCUCGGUAGAAGUAUUUUUGAGAUAGAGAGCUAAGAUCAGCUAAUUUGUCAGCAUUAUAAAGCAGUAUCUUGUCCUCAUAGUUCUUGUCUCUCACUGAAACUUUCCAGCAGCGGCCGCUGACAUAUGAACUUCACCAAUGAAGAUGCCACCACCGCACGGCUAUUUCUUGACUGCCCUGCUGAGGGUAAGAUAGUGGGAUAAUGCUUCUUUUCGGCCAUUUCUUUGUCAUUUCUAACAGGGUCAAACUCAAAUACCAAUAAAAGGAGAUGGAGAGCCAAUAUGCCACACCAUCAAAUUUAAAAGGCUAGGGGGAAAAAAAAGUCAAGAUCAUAAACGGUUGCCACAUUCAGUCUUUUUUAAUGCUAGUCUAUUAGUUUCAAUAAAAGAACAACAGAGUGUCCAUCGCGCUGUAACGCGACACGCCUAUCAUGUCAAUACGAUUAGUUUUUGUAAUGUGUUCAUGUACUGGUUACAGUUUAUAGAAAAAUUGAUUUCACAGAAUCAGAGAAAUUAGAAUUGGAAAUAUUCUAUUAGAUCACAAGACACAGCCCUAGAGGCUAGUGUAGAAUUGGUCCCUACUUACCAGUGUAUUUUCUGGUGUGGUUUUCUAUCAGGUUUUGAUGGGCUUAUAUAUUUAUUAUAGGCUGGGACUAUGUUCCACUAAAAAUUAUAGCAAUCCAUCUGAGAAAUAAAAUUCCAGAAAAAUAAGCAUUCGCUGAGUGCUAAUUUUACUUUGGUGGGUACAUUUUUAAUAUAGCAGUGUUUAUAGCCUCUCAGCUUACAAGAGGCAGGGUAACAGAAGUGGAUCAUGGGCUGGCAUUAUAAUCAAGUAGUAAAUUUACAUAUCUUAAGAGGAGAAAAUUUCCCCAGACCAAAUUUCCCAUCAGAUUUACACAAAAUGUGAUAAGAAAUUUUGAUCCCCCAAGAAUAGCUUAUUUUCUAUGUAGGAAAUUGAAGCCCGUGCCUCCUGAAAGUGUCUAUAAUCGCACACCUGAAGGGACUUCUUGCACUUUUUGGGCAGUGUGUACUGAGCUAGGACUCUGGGAGAUACAGUUGCAAGAGAGUGCAAGAGAGAGGGCAAACACAGCCCUGAACUUGGGGGCCGGGGUGGCUGUGGCCAGGGUCCAACCUCACAUCUCCGCUCUGCUUCCCUUUCUCACUCUGGUGUGACUGAGAGAGACGAGGAGCGAGGGCUGGGCUAGCCUGGGAAAUGUGAGCCCUGAGCAGGGUCUUGCUCCUCUCUCCUGCACAUAAGGGAAUGCAGUGGCUUUUCCAGGUGAAACAUACACACACUGGUCUACGUCCAACCAAUCCGACGGCUCCCAGGAUUUCCCAUGUCAGGACAGGUCAGCUUUCCUCCUCUUCAACAGUCUUUACAUCCUCCUCGCCUGGUUCCAUCCGUUAAUAAUGUCGGAGAAAGGACUACAGUGCGAUUUUCCUCAGCUCUCUCCAGAGUUUCUUAACCUUUUUUUUUUUCAUGGAGACAAAGCAGAAAUCUGUACGUAGUCUAAGCUUGUGGGUGGGAGGAGGGACUCAGGCCGUGUGUGGGAAAGGAUAGGGAGGAGGCAGAGAAGUGUAACGGUCUGCAGACAAUGCCCGACUCCGCUUGUCUCCAUCCUCACACCCCUGUCCGGAACACAGCCCUUGUUCUUCUGGACGGCAGCUGAUGAAGAUUAUGUCUGGCGAGCGAUCCAGGAAAAGCCUUCUACACCUGCAUGCUAAAUGAGCAAGAACGCCCAGGUGCUGACUCAGAUGUAUGAAUUUGCUGCACAUUAUGCAGACAAGUCAUUUUGCAUGUCCAGAAAGAAAUGUUAUCGAUAGUGCUGUUUUCCUGAACUGUCCAUAAUUCAAGAGAUUGCAAACUGAAAGCUGGUCCGACGGUGCCUGGACCCAGUUGCCCAGUGUGGUGUGUUGCUCCAAACAGGUGCCAGUCACAGAGGAGGACUGCUCGCCAGAGCAGAGCUGGGAAAACGGCUCCAGGUUAACAAAGCCAAGGACUUCUGCUAUGUUAAUUCUUUUUUAAAAAUAUUAUUUAAUUUUUAUGUGCAUUAGUGUUUUGCCUGCAUGUAUGUGUGAGGGUGCCAGUUACAGAGAGUUGAGAGCUGCCAUGUGGGUGUUGGGAUUUGAAACUGGGUCCCCUGGAAGAACGGUCUGUGCUCCUAACUGUUGAGCCAUCUUUCCAGCCCCUGUUACAUUAAUUCUUAAUUCUUGAACAGCAGCAGGAAAAGUGGCUAACCACAGGACCUAAGGUGACCAAAGGCAGAUGGUGAAACAGGUCUGUAAAGGUUUGGGCAGGUAGCUGAUGUCUUAGGGAGAGUAAUCAGAGAUGACCUUUGCUAUUCACUGUGGCCUGAGGACCAACAGAUUAGUGUGACUUUAUAGCGUGACAACAGAUCAGUGUGAAUUUAUAGUACUACCUAAUCCCAAGCCAUAUUCUAAACCUACUGGAUCCAAAUGCACACACAUUUUUAAUUACGGGUGAUUUGUUUGCACAUAAAAGAUUAAGCAGCUCUUGCACAUCCCAGCAAUUCCCUGUUGGUAGCAGCCCAGAUUUUUAAAGACAGGACCAGCUUUGCGAGCCCACGGGGAAUCGGCUCACUUCCUCACUCAGUGCAUCCUCAUGUCAGCAAAAGCCCAAGAACCGGCAUGCGUCCCCCUACAAGUUAUACAACACCCCCACAUUUGCUUUUUUUUAAAUUACUCUCACUUUUCCUCCUGGAGACGGUCCUCCCUAACUGCAUUUGGUUCUGGCAAAGCUGUCAUCCGUCAAGAUGAGCACCUGAUUGAAACUGGAGAGGAACAAUCCCACCCUCGCCCCUGAGGACUGAUUGAUUCUUUGGAGAUCAUUAAACAAGUGAGGCGCAAAUGUGCGACUGGUAGGCGUGUCCUCCUAGCGCAUGUGUGGGGACCUGUGCCAUAGCAAAGCCAAGCACGCCUUCAUAGCCCACAUGUGAGGACCAGGGAGAGAGCAAAGCCAGGAGUUAGAGCAGAAAGACAGAGACAGAGAAAUCACGUAAACACCUCAGCGCAAUUGUACCGGAAGUCAGACCACCCUUGGGCUCCAGCUUGUGUGAGCCUGUAGACCCAUCGCUUAGUUUAAAGCAGUCAUAGGUGGGUUCUCUUGGUAGCUAAAAGAAUGGUCCAGACCAUAUGGUCUUGAAAUUAGAUUAUCAGCUCUUCUAAACUGGAAGCAUUUAUAACUGGACACAUGAGAAUAAAUGAAAGGAAUAUAUAUAUUCAUUGCGAGGUCAUAACUUAGAAUUUGACCACUGUGUGAAUGAAUUUGCAAGAUGUGUGUUGUGUGUAUACAUUUAAUCUGAGCCUAAUUAAAUGUAGGUGGUUUAAAAUGUUUAGACACCCCCGAGCUCUAAAUACUGGUUAUCUGCAUUGUUAUACAGCAGGAGGCUAUAUUUAUUUUCUGGAUUUAGAGGCAAUGUGUCCUGAAAUUAAUAUUUAAAUCCAUGCCAACUAAUAUGCAAAUGAGCACGGCACUGGUGCUUUGAAAGCAAGAGGAUGGGAUUGUAGCCCUGACACUUCCACGGUGCUGAUGCUUUGAUGAGACAAGACAAAGGGGGCUAAAGUGCAGAUGGGAUGGUUCCCCAGAAAGAGCCAAUGCAGGUGGGGGAUUUUCGGCUCUGUAACACAUUUUAAAACAGGAAACAAUAUCUCAACUUAAAAUAGUGGUUCAGCCAUUCAUUAAUUUACUCAAUGCAAACACUGCAACUUUUCUGAAAUGAUGUUGCCAGUAAUCACAAUCUACAACCCACACACGCACACACAAAAAUGCAUUUUUAUCUGCCAAACAUCAAAAUUUAAGCCUACAACUGUUUGCUCUGGUUUUCUUUUCAGGGAACAGUUGUUAUUCACCGCUGGUCAUAUAUUUCAUUAUUAUAUACCUACUUUAAUAUGUGUGCUGUGUGCGCAUAUUUUAUGCUAAUUAGCUAAGCUAUGCAUGACAGAAACUUAACACGUUGUAACUUAAAUGAGGUGGACUUUUUGAAAGUAAAAUAAAAUGUCUGAGAUUGACUGUCUGGUAGGGUGUGCCAGUGGUUAGCGAGGACUGAAGUGUCUUCUAGGUUUUUGAAGCACAAAACCUAGGAUAUGGCUGCUCGGUCACUCUGACCACAUCAACCAACUUCUCUACGGCAGAUGGAAGAAAGAAAGGUUUGUCUCCUCUCUUUAAAUGGAACUCCCCAAAUUCCUCUAGCUCAGAAGCCAUGUGUGCAGACAAAAUUAUUUUGUUAAUUUGAGAAAUAGAAAACAGGUGUGCUUACGUUUGAACCUUAAAUGUCUCCCAUGUGUGGGAAGUGCAGUCCCCAGCUCGGUGCUAUUACAGCCACUGGACGUUUCUGGAGGUGGGAGAUGCAAGGUGAUGUGUCCUAAAAGAGAUAGAACCCUGGCCUCUUCUUCCCCCUUCCACUUUCUGACCAUGGGGUGAGCGUCUUUCUUCUGCUUCUUUUCAUUGUCAUCUGGUACAGGCUUAGAAGAAAUGGGGCCAGACAAUCAUGGAUUGGAACCUUUGAAGCCGUGAGCCAAGAUAAAACUCCCUGAUUUCUGGACCUCAUUAGGCCCCAGUCCUUUGGGAUGCUGUGUCUUUCGUCAUGAGGAGAUGGAGAGGCAGGAGCAGGAGGACUGUGCCUCUUGAAGUUCCUCUUAGACCUCAGAACCCUUGACAGCCAUGUGUCAGAGAAGCAGACCACCCGAAGCUUGGAACUGGCUUGGAUUUGAUCUCCAACUGUCUGCCAAGCUUCUGCAUGGCUCCCCAGACAAGCCUUAUGUUUGAGGCUCCUAGGACGACCUCUGGAUGGGAGGCAUUUUGUCACUGAUAUGCGAUCCCUGACAAGACAGGAGAAAAAGGCGAAAAGGACCAUGUAUCUCAGGGUUUCAGUCUAUCACAGUGGGGAACGGGCGUGAAGCGGGCCAAUAAAAUAUGGCUGGCAACCAAGGAACCAAUGCAGCAAGGUGAGCUCCCAAGGGUACCCUUUCUGUGGCUUCCUUUUUCCAACCAGGCCCAACCUCUUCUUUUCCUCAGCUUCCAAUAACACUGUCACACUAUAAAGCAAUUGGUGGAUUAGUCCAUUGAUUAACUCAAAACCUUCAGGAUCCCACCACUUGUCAAGGCCCACCCAUCAGCUAAUAACCAAGUUCCCUUCUAUUUGAACCACAGCCGUUGGUGAUAGACUCCAUCUUGGCUUUACUGGUUUCCGAAGGAAUCUUUGUUACAGCUUCUCCUGACGUCACUGGGCCUCCUCUAGGAACAGCUGCUGAACUGGUUCAAUGGAUCUGUGGUUGUGACAGAAGCAACGGAUGGAGAGAGAUGUUCAUUUUGGCUCGCAGUUCAGGAGUACAGUCUGUAAUUGUGGGUAGGUCACAGUGGCUGCGAUGGGUCAGUCUGUGGUGUGCAGGUGUGUGCAUAGGAGAUGGGAUCACGGGGAGUGUACGGGGUUUCCCAUAGUAGCAUCCAAACCUCCCUUCAGGAGGAUCCCAGGAUCUGAGGGAGUUGGAGGUAGAAGACUGACCAAGCCCAGUGGCAAGGCUUGUUACCAUUGGACCAGAAGCUCCUGCUUCUGCCUGGUCCCAGCAAAAGCAGAGAGGAGCCAGACCCUAGGGAUGAGCACUAAAGUUUCUUAACAAACACACCAGCAAGCAUUGGGUAGCCACUGAGAAAAUUUCCCAACUCCACUCAGGUGCUGACCUAGUAGAGCCAUUCUAACAUGUCCCCAGGGGAUUGAAUCAAUUACAUUUGUGUGCGUGUGCCCGUGUGUCUGCACAUGCAUGUGUAUGUGUAUGUGUUGUGGUGCAGUUCAGAGGACAAUUUACAGGAGUCUGUUCUCCUUUUCCGCCAGGCAGGGGUCAGACUCAGAGAACCAGGCUUGCUCCCUUACUGAGCCAUCUCACUGUCCCUAGGAAUUGAAUCCAGCAGAACCUGCUGAUACUUGGAGCUAAGCCAUCCACCUGGGAUGGCAGAGCAGGAAGAGGUGCGAUGGGGUAAGGUGGUAGCCAGGGCCCCAGGCUUUGGGCCCUGGAAGGUGACCCUCCAGCACAGCAGACACUCAUUCCCAAAUGUGUACCAGGUCCCUCUUUGCCAGCAAUCAUUAGGUUCAGAAAGCUCAGAGGGCCUGGUGCCCCCAACAAGUCAGCCGCCUCAGCCACCAUCUGCUCCUCAGAACUAGCAGAUCUCACAAGCAGCCUGUGGCUGAAACCAGUGCCAGAUUCUCCUGCCGUGGCUGUGGCUGUGGAGAGAGGCAGAGGGCGCUAACACGGGCCCUGGAUCAUGUUCUGGGGAGGUUGAUGCUGCCUGACCCUUUCCGGAAGGGCACAAGCAGUACUGGCAGAGCCCUCCCCACCUCUGGCUUGACCCUUGCUUAAUCUCAAACCUGGAGGUUGGUGUUCUAAUCCCACAGUGAUGCCCAGAGCUUGGGUAGAAAUGAUUGCAAGGUAAUAUGUUUUGCUUUCAGAGAGUAAAUUAAAACGAAGACUUCUGAUUUUAAGAAGCAAAACAUAAAACCUGAUUCCUAAAUAAACCCCCUUCCGUCCUGCCAUUAACACUGCUUCUUGUUUGUGAUAGGGGGCGGGCUCAACGGACCUGCCAAUCAACUACUGCUUUCAUUCCUGACAGACCUAGGGGAAGAGCAGAUCCCAUUUCUGUGCUAGCUAGAGAGCUAUGCAAUAGUGGCACAAGUCAGUGAAUACAAACUGUGCAGCCUCCUCCUCCCCCGUGCCUUUCCCAGCAGAGCCCAGUGCAUAACAAGUACUACACUAAUAAGUUCAUCAUGGGGUCAGUUCUGAACUGGGCUGACUCCUCGGCUCCCAGGCCUGGGAAAGCAAGAGAGACUUGUUCACUCACUGACCUCAGAUGAAAAUUUGAUAAACUGCUGAUGCCUUUGGUUAUUUAUGAGUUAUUACAUGCAUAUAAAUGAACAUAUUUUACUAGUUGUACAAAUUACAUUUUAUCGGUGUGAAACAUGCAUUUCAUUCCACAGGCUGCUGACCUGGCUAAAGAUGAAGUCUUUUUGAAUGCUAUUAGAGUUGGUGUUCGCGAGUACAUAUUUGACCCUUGAGGGUUCUCCUGAGAAUCCCAGGGUCUAUCACUGCAGACUGACCCAGCUCCAGUGAACAAACAGAAGUCUAGGGCAGGAAAGCCCCGCCCUCUCAAGCCCCGCCCUCUCAAGCCCCACCCUCUCAAGCCCCGCCCUCUCAAGCCCCGCCCUCUCAAGCCCCCGCCCUCUCAGCCAGGAAACACCUCACCGUCAGCCAUUGCUGGUCAUGAAAUGACAGAGACAAGAUUUAGAUUCAGGGAUGAUGUUCGUUGAGCUAGUUUGUCUCCUACUUCUGGUUCCUUAGGAAUGGAGUUUCUAAGAAUCGCCCGUGCAGCUCUACCAAUCUGUUUAAGGCUUGCUGCCUGUAGUGGACAGUCCACGGCGAUCUAUACCGCUGAGCAAUUCCACCUCAACCGUCCUGUACUACCCUGUAGCUGUACCCCAGUAGCUCCUUGUGUCCAUACGUUUCCUUUAGGUGCCUCAGAGUCAGACAGUGUUAUUUUAAACAGAGGGGAGCUAGCCUUUAAAAGGUGAUGUAGUUCCUGGACUAGGAGCUUAUGCAUUUGAAAUCAGGACAAAGAACCCCAGAUAAAAUGGGUAAGGAGGCUCGAAGCUGAUGUGCGCAUGAGGGAACAGAAGCAAGGCCGGGAUGGAGUCAGGGGUUGUCUGAGCUCUGAUGGUACAUUUAACAAAUAUAUACCAAAUAGAUACCUCCUAGUGGUCCACAGCCUCUACUCCAGACCUCUGGGAGUAAUUGUGUUUGGAAAAAGGGCAUUUCAGGAUUUAAAGCGGCAAGGAGAUGCAUAUAUUAAUAAUAUACAUAUUAAUAACAUCCCCAGCGGAGUCUGGGGUAGCACCUGAUAAUCAAACACAUUAAUAUCUUUGUAGUUAAAUAAAGAAGCAUUCUCCACUAAUGGGAUCAAAACUAUAAAUAGCCUCAGGUUAUAUUAGGUCAGAAUUUGCUUCUGUUAGUUUGUUACAAACUUGAGCAAAAAAACCCUGGUUUUUGUUUGUUUGUUUGUUUGUUUGGUUGGUUGGUUGGUUGGUUUUGUGCUUUAUGAAGCUCAAGGUUUGUGGGCAAUAGAUUGAGUCUAUGUUAUCUAACUUUCAAUGUAGAAUACAUUGACCAGUAAAGAUAACUUAUUAAACAAGUUCUAACAUUAA